UCACUGUUGAGGAGUCCCACAAUAGGACGAAACGGCCGUUCAGUGC
rfam:Schistosoma haematobium scaffold286_33, whole genome shotgun sequence.